rnacentral:lncRNA from 1 species
UGACGUGUCGUCGGUCGGCCUCUCCGGGAGACCCGUAACCCCGGGUCACAGCUCUGCCCACGGGUCCACAGAGUCCCUCUCCCUCAGUGAAAAGCACUCGGAAAAACACGGAAUUCCGGACGAGGAGGAGGAUAUUCUUGAUUUAGGAGCGCUGGUCUCUGAACCGGACACACAGUUGCAACCGGAGGAGGACGAGGGGAAAAGGGGGGAGGAAGAGGAAGAGGGAGAGGGAGAGACAAGGAUUCCCCACUGUCUGGUGGGUUCUGUGUUUAGUGCAGAUCGCGACGAUGGUGACGACGAGAGGCCCGUGGCUUUCUCCGAGGGUGGGGGAGAGAGGGUGAGGCCUGAGUUGUUGGAGUUUGUUGGAGACUGGCCUUCAGAGGAGGUACUGGAGCAAAGAAGAAGAGGAGGAGGAAGGAAUGGGAAGCGCCCUGGGAGGGAGGAAGAGGGAGUUGAUGAGGGGGAGGAGGCAGGUCCCAGAGGCAGCCAAUCAGAAGGGCUUCCUGGUAGCGGGCCUCAUGUCACAGAGUUCCAGAAGCUUCUAGAGCUCUUACAGACAGGUGUUGACUCCCACCCUCUGCCCACCUGCCCUUCCCCCAUCCUCUCCCCCUUCUCCCCGAGCUCACACCAUUCAGUUGGAGGAGAAGGAGGAGAGAGGGGUGAGGCAGGGGGGAGGAGAGGGGAGGCUGAUAAAGACCGAGUCCUGAGUCGGGAGGAAUUACCUGACUGUGUGGUGGUUGAAUCCAACACCGUGGAGCAGAGGGAGGGAGAGACCAUCCAGGUCGCCGUAGAGGGGGGGACGACUCGGGGUUUAGUUGAGGAAGACUUGGUGGAGGUAGAGGGAAGCCAUCCUGGUAAGGUAGAUCGAGGCCAUGUUGGUGAGGUCAGUCAGUGUACUGAUGCUAGUGAGACCAGGAUGGAAGGUGAAGUCGGCCAUCUUGGUGGGGGCAGUCAGUGUGCUGAUAGUGACAGCCAUAUUGGUGAGGGCAGUGAGGAAGCUGGUGAAGACAGCCAUGUUGGUGAGGUCAGUCAGUGUACUGAUGCUAGUGAGACCAGGAUGGAAGGUGAAUUCGGCCAUCUUGGUGGGGGCAGUCAGGAGCGGAAGCAGCAGCAGCAGAGUCGCAGGGCGGGGAAACAGUGCAAACUGGCACUCACCUUCACAAACAACACCCCUCCCUCCCCCAAACCACAGAUAGACCUCGCCCCUGACCUUGACCCUGACCUUGACCCUAAUCUCGACUCUGACCUUGCCCCUAAUCUCGACUCUGACCUCGCCCCUAAUCUCGACUCUGACCUUGCCCCUAAUCUCGACUCUGACCUUAACCUUAACCCCGACCUUAACCCUG